rnacentral:rRNA from 1 species
UACAGAGGGGGCGAGCGUUGUUCGGAAUUACUGGGCGUAAAGGGCUCGUAGGCGGCCAACUAAGUCAGACGUGAAAUCCCUCGGCUUAACCGGGGAACUGCGUCUGAUACUGGAUGGCUUGAGUUUGGGAGAGGGAUGCGGAAUUCCAGGUGUAGCGGUGAAAUGCGUAGAUAUCUGGAGGAACACCGGUGGCGAAGGCGGCAUCCUGGACCAACACUGACGCUGAGGAGCGAAAGCCAGGGGAGCAAACGGG